rnacentral:rRNA from 1 species
UAGGGAAUCAUCCGCAAUGGACGGAAGUCUGACGGUGCAACGCCGCGUGAGUGAGGGAGGUCUUCGGAUCGUAAAACUCUGUUGUCAGGGAAGAACACACCGUGUUCGAACAGAUCACGGUCUUGACGGUACCUGACCAGAAAGCCCCGGCUAACUACGUGCCAGCAGCCGCGGUAAUACGUAGGGGGCAAGCGUUGUCCGGAAUUAUUGGGCGUAAAGGGCACGCAGGCGGUCCUUUAAGUCUGAUGUGAAAUCUUGCGGCUUAACCGCAAGCUGUCAUUGGAAACUGAAGGACUUGAGUGCAGAAGAGGAGAGUGGAAUUCCACGUGUAGCGGUGAAAUGCGUAGAGAUGUGGAGGAACACCAGUGGCGAAGGCGACUCUCUGGUCUGCAACUGACGCUGAGGUGCGAAAGCGUGGGUAGCGAACAGG